CCAUGUCAUGUUGAAACAUCAGUUCCUGUAAAAUCACUGAAGUUAAGCAAUGUUGUGCCUGGUUAGUACUUAGAUGGGUGACUAGACGGAAUACCAGGUGUUGUAA